AACGAACGCUGGCGGCAUGCCUAACACAUGCAAGUCGAACGAGACCUUCGGGUCUAGUGGCGCACGGGUGCGUAACGCGUGGGAACCUGCCCUUAGGUUCGGAAUAACUCCCCGAAAGGGGUGCUAAUACCGGAUAAUGUCUUCGGACCAAAGAUUUAUCGCCUUUGGAUGGGCCCGCGUUGGAUUAGCUAGUUGGUAGGGUAAAAGCCUACCAAGGCGACGAUCCAUAGCUGGUCUGAGAGGAUGAUCAGCUACACUGGGACUGAGACACGGCCCAGACUCCGACGGAAGGCAGCAGUGGGGAAUAUUGGGCAAUGGGCGAAAGCCUGAUCCAGCAGUGCCGCGUGAGUGGUGAAGGCCUUAGGGUUGUAAAGCUCUUUUACCCGGGAUGAUAAUGACAGUACCGGGUGAAUAAGCUCCGGCUAACUCCGUG
rnacentral:rRNA from 1 species